rnacentral:rRNA from 1 species
CAAUAGCGUAUAUUAAAGUUGUUGCGGUUAAAAAGCUCGUAGUUGGAUUUCUGCUGAAGGCAGCCGGUCCAUGUUCGACAUGCGCAUCUGGAUUGACUUCGGCAUCCUCUCAGAUAACGAUUCUGUGCUUGAUUGCAUGGAGCGGAGUUUGAGACUUUUACUUUGAGGAAAAUAGAGUGUUCACGGCAGGCAAUCGCCCUGAAUAUACUAGCAUGGAAUAAUAAAAUAGGAUCUUGGUUCUAUUUUGUUGGUUUCUAGAACGAAGAUAAUGAUUAAUAGGGACAAUUGGGGGCAUUCGUAUUAACGCGUCAGAGGUGGAAUUCUUGGAUUGCGUUACGACGAACUACUGCGAAAGCAUUUGCCAAGGAUGUUUUCAUUGA